CGUUGUCUUCGGACAACCAGCCAAUGCUUCAGCACUCUGUGAGAAGUGCCUUCGGGUGAGUGCCAACCAAAGUUUCAGCAGUCUGUGAGAAACGCCUUCGGGUGACUGCCAAUAGCCUUGUAGCCUGAAAGAGGAAGCCCAUGUGGCGGUAACUCC
ncrna:Serratia proteamaculans 568 STAXI RNA